ACGCUCGACACCUACGGGAUGCAGCAGUGGGGAAUAUUGCACAAUGGGGGAAACCCUGAUGCAGCGACGCCGCGUGAAGGAAGAAGUAUCUCGGUAUGUAAACUUCUAUCAGCAGGGAAGAAAAUGACGGUACCUGACUAAGAAGCCCCGGCUAACUACGUGCCAACAGCCGCGGAAUCUGAGCGGGCUGGCAAGGC
rnacentral:rRNA from 1 species